rnacentral:misc_RNA from 1 species
GAAAUGCGAUACGUAACGCGAAUUGCAGAAUUCAGUGAAUCGUCGAAUCUUUGAACGCAUACUGCGGUUCUCGAGCUCGCUCGAGAACCAUGCCUCUUUCAGUAUCGGUUUCACUCUCUCGACUACGCCUGCGUGUGUUUUCGAGCUAUUUUGAGGGUCCUGGGCUCAUUCGUAGCCUAGGUCCCUUUAAGAACUUGGAAGGAAAUGUGCUUUUCGGAGCACAGCUUCUCGGUCCACAAACCCAGAAGAUAGUUCACCUUUGUGUGAUUCUAAUAUCGUCUGGGCGACGUGCCGGAGGCUCACUUCCCCCUGUUUUCGAACCGACUUAUAAACAUCUGAUCUGAAAUGAGGUAAGAGGACCCCCUGAACUUAA